GUCUGGGUGGUGUAGUUGGUUAUCACGCUAGUCUCACACACUAGAGGUCCCAGUUCAAACCUGGGCUCAGACA
rfam:Ipomoea nil DNA, scaffold: scaffold1155, cultivar: Tokyo-kokei standard.